CUGGCAAAGCUACAAGAUGUGAGGGAAGCAGGGGAAACAGAAGAGGAAAGAGUGGUCCAAAAAUUAUCAUGUUACCGCACAGAAGUAUCCUCAUGACCUUCCCUCUCUACAACUGCUGCUAGUUCCUACAUCCAAGUGGCCAUGUGAGACUGAAUAUUAGAUGCCAAGUGCACACAUGUGUUAGACAUUCAGUGAUGCCUGCUGUUAGCCACGCAUUGUUGCAGACACUGAGGGUACAAAGGUGUUUUAAAAAUUGCAGGAGAGAUGACCUAAAUGCAGUAACUAAAUUAUAUCCAUCAGAUCAUGGAGGCCACAAAAGGGGCAAUGGCCAAUUCUAUAGGAGCAGUUAAAAAAGAAGAGGCAAGAUAAAAACUUCUUCAUGAUCACAUCUGAAGGAACGAUAUAUGUGGGAAAAAAAUGGUUGAAAUCUAACACAGUGCUUUUCAAUUAAUAUUCACAAAGGCAUCCGAAAAUGUUCACUGCAAAGCUUUGAACAAAUUGUGAGGGAGAAAUGAAGUCCACGCCCAUCUCUGAAUUCAAGACUGCCUCUGUGGUGAGGUCAUGUUACCUAUCCAAUUGCAGUGGAGUUAACAGGGAUUGUUGGAGAAACAAACGACAAGAUGCCCAUUGAGUACACAUGGCAGUAUGCAUGGCUCAUGCUCCCUUAUGGCUAGAAAUUGAAUGUUUCACACCUGGGCCAUGCUCCACAAGCAAGGCAGAAAGUGACUGCACAUGCGCUCAUAAGUGGAAUGAAAGGGAGAGGAGCUGGGCGCUAGGAUGCUGGCCCAUUCUGGAGCUGGUGUCUGCAAACAUGGUACCUCCCCAGUGUCUCAGACAGACUUCAUGUUGUGUAUGUUUCUCAGAAUAUCAAGGUUUAUUGGGAGACAUCGACCUUCAGUAUCUGGAAAUGGCCAGAGAUGGUGCAAGCUCAAGUUUCAAUAAUCAUUAUUUCAAACAUUUUAUUUUUUUGAGAAUGUAUUACAUGCCAGUAGCAGUGUAAAAUUUUGACCAUUCCAUAGGCUAUUCAUAAAAACCCUAUGGUGUAAGUACUUUUAUGAACCUUAUUUACGAGUAGUAAUAUUGAUUACAAGGCUAAUGAUGAUUGAACACUUACUAUAUUAUUGGCAAUGCACUAUAUGCCUUACAUGUAUCAUCUAAAUAAACAGUUCUGUGAGAUUUAGAAAAUUGAGACUCAGUUAAAAAUAUGUCCAAGUUUAUAUAGAUCUUAGAUGUUGGAGCUGGGAUUUAGAAGGCAAUUUGAAUUUUCACAAGUUAAACGCACCUGUAUAAGAUGUGACUAACACUCAGCUCAGGAAAUUGAAUAUAA
rnacentral:lncRNA from 10 species